rnacentral:rRNA from 1 species
UACGGAGGGGGCUAGCGUUGUUCGGAAUUACUGGGCGUAAAGCGCACGUAGGCGGCUUUGCAAGUUAGAGGUGAAAGCCCGGGGCUCAACUCCGGAAUUGCCUUUAAAACUGCAUCGCUAGAAUUGUGGAGAGGUAAGUGGAAUUCCGAGUGUAGAGGUGAAAUUCGUAGAUAUUCGGAAGAACACCAGUGGCGAAGGCGACUCGCUGGACAGACAUUGACGCUGAGGUGCGAAAGCGUGGGGAGCAAACAGG